UCUCUCUCGUCUUUAAAUUUCCAAAAUGGCCGCUCUCCCGCGUGUUUUCGUGUCAUUUGGUUUCUACUAAGUAUUUCGCUCUUAUUCUUAAUAAUUGGGCUAGAAGACAACAGGAGCCAUGUCUGUGGAUGCUAGACUACCAUGCAAGCGUAAGAGCGUAGCAAGUAUAUCGGUAUCUGAGCCCAAACAUAUCGUUACCCCCGGAGACGUGAUAACCGAAGACACUGGGUACAUGAGGGGUCAUGGUACGUAUGUUCAAGAUGAAAAGCUGAUUGCGUCAGUCGCUGGAGUCGUAGAGAGAGUAAACAAACUGAUCUGUGUGAAGCCGUUUAAAACAAGGUACAAUGGAGAAAUUGGUGAUGUUGUUGUAGGACGAAUAACAGAGGUUGGCCAAAAAAGAUGGAAAGUGGAGACCUUUUCAAAACUAGAUUCAGUUCUGAUGCUAUCAUCUGUGAACUUACCUGGAGGGGAAUUGAGAAGAAGAUCAACACAGGAUGAAUUGAUGAUGCGGAACUACUUUGCUGAGGGGGACCUCAUUAGCGCUGAAGUCCAGUCGAUUUUCUCGGAUGGAUCACUGUCACUUCAUACACGCAGUCUGAAGUAUGGCAAGCUCAAGCAUGGUACACUUGUGAAGAUUCCGCCCACCAUGGUCAAGCGGUGCAAGACCCAUUUCCACAACCUCCCAUGCGGUGCCACCGUCAUCAUUGGUAAUAAUGGGUACAUUUUCCUGAGUACCAUUAUAACACCAGAGGCAUUAGGUACCGAUGGCAUGGCAGAGCCAGACCAACCAGACAUAUCAGAGAUACGUGCUGCUGACCGUGAAAUGCUGGCUCGGCUCCGUAAUUGUGUGGUGUUGUUGGCCCACGAGUCUAUUUUGUUAUUUGAUUCAAGUUUGAUGUAUGCAUAUGACGAGUCGCUCAAGUUUUCGGUGAAAGAACUUCUAAAGCCAGAAGUGAUAGAAGAGAUAGGUACGAUGGUACGUCAGCGGCUCCAGGAGUGAAUGUAGGAAAGAUGCUGAAACAGCUCACGGAAAGGAUCGUUCAAUCAUGGAUUCGGACACGUGAUGGGUAAUCUCGGAAAAGUUCAAGGAGUCGACAAAUCCGGCAUGUUCCUGUCAGCGUGAUACUUGCGUUGGUGAAAGUACCGCAUAAAUCCUUUUAAUAAAGGAUUAACAAUAUUUCCAAGGAAAUUUAUAUUAUGUGGAGUGAGUGUGAAGUGACGUGUUCAGAUUUAAACUGAUUCUAAAACUGCUUUAAGAUCCCCCAAGAAAAAUAAUGAGCACGUAUUGUAGGGGGUUACCAAUAUAGUGAGGAAUAUUAUACCUACAGCUAUAAGCUAGGAAUGUGAUUUAUGUAUUUAUUAGAUCGGCUAAAUUUAUAGUUCCCCUUCUCCUAAGGCGGCAGUAUUUACAAAGAAUCUCGUCUUAAUCAAUUACUCACUCACCUCUCUUAUAAGUCAAGCAAAACCUGUCUGUAUAUUAUUCUUUGCGUUGUUUGUACUUCACUCCGGAUCUUGUUGUGUUUAGGGUUUUUAAGUUUCUAAGAGCCCGCACAUUAAAGGAGAAAAGUAAUUACUUUACAAAGCAUCUGCAAAGGACUCUUAUUUUGAGUCAGGAUGUGUUUCUAUUAAAGAACCCUUGUCCGCCACUACUUUGUUAUUGUUUUCAGCAAAUAUUGGGAGUCAAAUUAUGAGAUAUCUCAGAGUGGCCACAAAAAGUCAAAAUCUUAUGCUUUAUUUACUGAAUUCAAUAAAAAAUAUCGCAACAGUUUUUCCAAAUCAGACGUUGAAAAUGGAAGCUUUCUUACACUUGGUACUUUGCUAGGAUGACAAUAUGGCGGCUGGCAGAGGCUGUUAAAAGCGGUAGUGAAGAGAGGUACAACCAGCUUGAUGUUGUGUUUAGGGCAGUGUCUCAUCUACUAAUAAAGAUUAAAAUAUAUAUUUUCAAAUCAUCAUUUUAGGGUCCUUUUAUUGUCAUCAAUGUGUUUGCUUUUACCAUAUAUAUAUUUUUCAUAAAAUAACUCUUUAUGGCGCAAAUCUUCAUACAAUAUCGAAUAAGGAUACGUUACUUUUCAAGUGGACGACUUAUUUAUGUGUAAUUCAGGUUAGCUAAAAAUAAAAUAAAAUUAAUGUCUUAAAAACAUGAAUGUCAUUUCCGAACAAGGGCAACUUGUAAGUCACGUGACGUGCUGAGUAGCAAACUCGCACUAAAAUAAACACAGAAAGGCUGCGGCAAUCACACCCAGACAGCGACGAACAAAAAUAAUAUAUUGCAAUGGAAAUAAGCCCUUUCUGACAGACACUUUCUAGGCUGUGUGUAAGCGCUGAAUAAGUUGUUAUUUGUUGCCGCUAAAAGCUAGAGCGCGCGGGAAUUUGCUACCAAAAAAGAUAGAUAAUUUCUUAUUGCGAGCUACCUAAAUAAGUUUAACAAAGCGGCACCUAGAAGAUUAUGUCUGUACAACUAAUUAGCCUCCGCCAACCGGCAUUUUGUCAUCCUACCAAAAUACUAGGUGUGAGAAAGCAUCCAUCGGGUGAUUUGGGUGAACUUCCAACUGAAUUUGGUAAAUGACGUACAAAGCUUUGUUUUUAGAAGUGUAUGCCAAAAGGUCAUCACAUAAUUUGUCUUUCAAUGAAUAUGAGAAAGAUAACAAAGGCUGACAAAAACUUUUUAAAUACACCUCAAAUGUAGCCUCUAGUUUCUACGACUUAAUUAGCCCACAUUAUAUAAGGUCUGUAACUAUUCAUAUAUUUCCACUUGGUGCAACAGAGCUUUGUUUCUGUCUGGUAUUACUAGAAAGACAACAGACAAGCUGGAGAAAUACUAUGUGGUCUGCAUAACCGCGGUGUAGACAAGCUAUGGAUCAUCACAAAGUUGAAAAAGUAUGCUGUACGCCUCUGAAGAGGAGCUCUGCUUUGUUUCUGACAAUUGUUAGUCACCAUUUAUAACCCGUCCCCACGUAUUCGUUUUCGUUUAAAAACGCAUCCUUUUUGUUACGGAUACGGGUAUCGUCCACACGGAAACGCGAAAACGAUGACCGAAAACGGAACGAUUUGAAAACGAUAUCCAGAGUGGAACGAUUUGAAAACGAUGCAUUUUCGAUGCCGUGGGGACGACGUGAUAACUCAGGUCCAGUCCACUUGGCGCGAGAAUACGCAUGCGCUGUAGAACUUGUUAUUGUUGUCGUUUCUGCGUUUUCGUGGGGACGGGUCGUAUCGAAAUGAAAACCCUUUGUGUGGAGGCGGAUUCUUUUGAAAACUGAACAAAAAGGUUGUGUUUCCAAACGAAAACGGAUACGUGGACAGGGUGUAAGUCUCCCAUUACCAUCGGCUGAUUUGGGAAGGGUACUGCGCCAUUUCGAAUGAAUUUGGUAAAUUAAGUAUAUUUUUCAGUUGAUUAUUCCGCAGAUUCCUCCACAUAAUUUGUUAUUAAUAUGAAAUUAAAACAUUACUUAAAGUGCA